GAUGAAGAACGUAGCGAAAUGCGAUAAGUAAUGUGAAUUGCAGAAUUCAGUGAAUCAUCGAAUCUUUGAACGCACAUUGCGCCCGCCAGCAUUCUGGCGGGCAUGCCUGUUCGAGCGUCAUUUCAACCAUCAAGCCCCCGGCUUGUGUUGGGGACCUGCGGCUGCCGCAGGCCCUGAAAACCAGUGGCGGGCUCGCUGUCACACCGAGCGUAGUAGAUUUUCAUCUCGCUCAGGGCGUGCUGCGGGUUCCGGCCGUAAAAAGCCUUAUUUACCCAAGGUUGACCUCGGAUCAGGUAGGAAGACCCGCUGAACUUAAGCAUAUCAUAAGCGGAGGA
rnacentral:misc_RNA from 1 species